GGUGAGGACGGGUUCACCUGCGCAGAUCUGCGGCCUGAAGGAGGGCAGUGAACUACUGGAGUUGGAUCAGGUGUUGUUCGGCGAGGGUCGUGUUCGUCUCAGUCAUUGUACGGCUGAAGUGGCUCAUUUCUCACUGCAGUGGUGGACUGAACCGAAUGCACUCAAACACACACACAAUCCUGACGGUUACACUCGCUUACUUGCUGAACUCUCAUCU